CAGAAAAUAGUUUAUAUAAAAUAAUAAUUUUGGGGAUUAUUGAUAAGAGAUUUUUCUUUUUUCUGA
rnacentral:tRNA from 1 species